AUUGAACGCUGGCGGCAGGCCUAACACAUGCAAGUCGAACGGUAGCACAGAGAGCUUGCUCUCGGGUGACGAGUGGCGGACGGGUGAGUAAUGUCUGGGAAACUGCCCGAUGGCGGGGGAUAACUACUGGAAACGGUAGCUAAUACCGCAUAACCUCGCAAGACCACAAUGGGGGACCUUCAGGCCCCACAACAUCGGAAGUGCCCAGAGGGGAUUAGCUAGUAGGUGGGGUAAUGGCUCACCUAGGCGCCGAUGCCAAGCUGGUCUGAGAGGAUGACCAGCAACACUGGAACUGAGACACGGUCCAGAAUCCUACGGGAGGCAGCGGUGGGGAAUAUUGCACAAUGGGCGCAAGCCUGAUGCAGCCAUGCCGCGUGUAUGAAGAAGGCCUUCGGGUUGUAAAGUACUUUCAGCGGGGAGGAAGGCGGUGAAGUUAAUAGCUUCACCGAUUGACGUUACCCGCAGAGGAAGCACCGGCUAACUCCGUGCCAGCAGCCGCAGUAA
rnacentral:rRNA from 1 species